AAAUGUUUUCUUUUCUGUAAUCAUCAUGAUGAUUGUUUUACCGACCGGGCGGACAGAAUAGUAUCGGUUUUGGGUGGUUGCUCGCUGUCUUCAAGUGUACAUUUUUUCUAGAGGAUGGUGGCAGCCCUUUGAAAAGCUCAAAAUCCGAGAAGUGGUGAGUGGUCGUGAGAUAGCUGAUUCGUAAAAGAAAAACACAUCU